rnacentral:rRNA from 1 species
UACGGCGGGUGCAAGCGUUGUCCGGAAUCACUGGGCGUAAAGGGCGCGUAGGCGGCUCAUGAAGGCUGUGGUGAAAGUCCGGGGCUCAACCUCGGAUCGGCCGUGGCGACUCGUGGGCUGGAGCACUGUAGAGGCGGGUGGAAUUCCCGGUGUAGCGGUGGAAUGCGUAGAGAUCCGGAAGAACACCAGUGGCGAAGGCGGCCCGCUGGGCAGUGGCUGACGCUGAGGCGCGACAGCGUGGGGAGCAAACAGG